UACGUAGGAUGCAAGCGUUGUUCGGAAUUACUGGGCGUAAAGAGUACGUAGGCGGUAAUGUAAGUCUGAUAUUAAAAACCGGAGCUUAACUCCGGGGGUGUAUUGGAAACUGCAUUACUAGAGGACAGUAGAGGAAGUCGGAAUUCUCAGUGUAGCGGUGAAAUGCGUAGAUAUUGGGAAGAACACCAGUGGCGAAAGCGGACUUCUGGGCUGUUACUGACGCUGAGGUACGAAAGCGUGGGGAGCAAACGGGAUUAGAUACCCCGGUAGUCCACGCGGUAAACGAUGGAUACUAGGUGUGGGAGGUUUCGACCCCUUCCGUGCCGCAGCUAACGCAAUAAGUAUCCCGCCUGGGGAGUAUGGCCGCAAGGUUGAA
rnacentral:rRNA from 1 species